rnacentral:rRNA from 1 species
AUUGAACGCUGGCGGCACGCUUUACACAUGCAAGUCGAACGGUAACAGGUUAAGCUGACGAGUGGCGAACGGGUGAGUAAUGCAUCGGAACGUGCCCGAUCGUGGGGGAUAACGCAGCGAAAGCUGCGCUAGUACCGCAGACGAUCUGAGGAUGAAAGCGGGGGACCGCAAGGCCCCGCGCGAUCGGAGCGGCCGAUGUCAGAUGAGGUGGUUGGUGGGGUACAGGGCCACCACGCCGACGAUCUGUCGCUGGUCCGGGAGGACGACCAGCCACACUGGGACUGAGACACGGCCCAGACUCCUACGGGAGGCAGCAGUGGGGAAUUUUGGACAAUGGGCGCAAGCCUGAUCCAGCAAUGCCGCGUGCAGGAAGAAGGCCUUCGGGUUGUAAACUGCUUUUGUACGGAGCGAAAAGGCUCUCUCUAAUACAGGGGGCUCAUGACGGUACCGUAAGAAUAAGCACCGGCUAACUACGUGCCAGCCGCCGCCGUAACAC